AGUUGAAUGGGAUACCUUAAAGUUCCCAUAGCAAACUGCUCAGUAACACAUGAUCAACUUACCCUAUAGAGAAAAAUAACCUCGGGAAACUGAGGAUAAUGUUUCAUAAUUGAAUUGGCUUGGAAAAGUUUUUCAAUGAAAAGGAUAAAAAAAAUGGUUUUUAUCUGCUAUAGGAUAGGAUCGUGUUCGAUUAUGGUUGUUGGUGAGAUAAUGGCUCACCAAGCCGAUAAUCGAUAGGGGCCGUGAGAGCGGGAGCCCCGAGAUGGGUACUGAGACAACGACCCAGGCCUUACGAGGCGCAGCAGGCGCGGAACCUCCGCAAUACACGAAAGUGUGACGGGGUUACCCAAAGUGUUCAAUAGAACUGUGGUAGGUGAGUAAUGUCCCCUACUAGAAAGGAGAGGGCAAGGCUGGUGCCAGCCGCCGCGGUAAAACCAGCUCUUCAAGUGGUCGGGAUAAUUAUUGGGCUUAAAGUGUCCGUAGCCGGUUUAGUAAGUUCCUGGUAAAAUCGGGUAGCUUAACUAUCUGCAUGCUAGGAAUACUGCUAUACUAGAGGGCGGGAGAGGUCUGAGGUACUACAGGGGUAGGGGUGAAAUCUUAUAAUCCUUGUAGGACCACCAGUGGCGAAGGCGUCAGACUGGAACGCGCCUGACGGUGAGGGACGAAAGCCAGGGGAGCGAACCGGAUUAGAUACCCGGGUAGUCCUGGCCGUAAACGAUGCAUACUAGGUGAUGGUACGGCCAUGAGCCGUAUCAGUGCCGUAGGGAAACCGUUAAGUGUGCCGCCUGGGAAGUACGGUCGCAAGGCUAAAACUUAAAGGAAUUGGCGGGGGAGCACCACAAGGGGUGAAGCCUGCGGUUCAAUUGGAUUCAACGCCGGA
rnacentral:rRNA from 1 species